rnacentral:rRNA from 1 species
UACAGAGGGGCAAGCGUUAUUCGGAAUUAUUGGGCGUAAAGGGCGCGUAGGCGGCUUGGCAAGUGGAAGGUGAAAUCCCUCGGCUUAACCGAGGAACUGCCCUCCAAACUGCUUUGCUUAAGGCCGGGAGAGGUGAGUGGAAUUCCCAGUGUAGCGGUGAAAUGCGUAGAUAUUGGGAGGAACACCAGUGGCGAAGGCGGCUCACUGGACCGGUACUGACGCUGAUGCGCGAAAGCGUGGG